GCCACCUGCGCCCGGCCGGGUAACAGGCUCAGCCAAUCGCUCCGUUACGACUUGUUAGCUGAAAGUCCUUUGCAAGUCCCAUAUGAAUCUGCCAAGAAGUCUGGCCACUCAAAACAUGAAUUUUCCAGAUAAUUUGCUGAAAAGGGGAGUAAAAAGGAAGAAGGCCCAUCUCUAAUGACCCUGAUGACAAAACCAUUUGUCUGCAAGGACUUCUCACAGAUGACACAAGAAUUUAGUGUUUACCCAAAUGUCUUUGGGUCAGAUCUUUACAUAAAACAAACUGGAAUAUACCUUUAUGUAGCUCAAUCUUUUUCAACUGAUGCUUCAGAAAUUUUCUAUGAAGAGCCUCCACUUAAAAAAAGAAAGUAGUGAUGCUACCACAGUCCAUGCCAAAAUGUACCAAUAGGAUACAGGCUGGAAUCUUCAGCAAGUGGAAGUCAGUCUAUCUCCAAGAUUUAAAUAUUUAUAUAGGCCCUAGCUGGCAUGAACAGCAUAUGCAUUUCAGCAAGGACAAAGGAAGAGUUCAUCAUUCCUUUACAAGGACUCCCAGCCAGGUAUUUCUCAUUCUCACCUGUUCCUUUCUCCCAAACAGUCCACAAAGCCCAAUCUGUGACAUUCAGCAAGGACUGGAUGACAAGCAUGGUAGCAGAAAAGCCUCAGCAAGCCUAAAAUUCACUGGGUAGGUAAAGAAGGACUGUAAAGAAGUGCCCUUUCCAGGAUUCUGAUGGGAAGCAUAAACAGGCAAAACUGUUCUUUUCUUGCACGCUGACUUUUCACUGUGGAUUUCCUACUCAAAGGCCUUCUGACCACAAGGCAGCAUAAAUGAAAACAUAUCAACCUACUGGUAGAAAUGUACCUGCCCCUUAGCUGUUAUUCAAAAGGGUCUGUGUGCAAUGAGCAGGGAUCAGACUUUACUACAGGAAAUAUAUAUACCAUGUUAAUAUCUCUUGUUUACCAGUUAAUAUCUCUUGGUCUGAAGAGCUAAACAAAUAUGUUACAUUUUAUUGUCCAGGAAACCAAACAGUGUCCCCCAGCAGGUAGUACCAUAGCUUUUUUGUUGCAUUGGGCUCUGUAGGGAUCCUGAGCUUCAAGCAAAACAUGAGCUUGAAAAAAAAUACAAAACUUCUCAGCAAGUCCCAGGUUUACAGUAAAAGUAACAAAGCUAAUUGACAGAAAGAAAAAGUGCAGCUGUCAAGGCAAGAAGGACAUUGUUUUCAAAAGAAAAGUAGCUUUCUCUGUUCAGGGGCUUUUGCUUUAUUCUCAUCUGUGCUGUAGUGCAAAAUGGUGGGCUCAAGAUAAAAAGCAGCAUUCAGUGCCACUUUUGCUAGCAGCCAGUGAUGAACUUGCAGAAACCUUCCAGACCCUUUCCAAAUGGGACCAGGUUUGGGCUAGAUCUACUUUGAAAAUUGUUGCAGCACUAUCUUGGUCCCUUUCAUGUGCAUUUAAAAAUAAGGUAAUCUGGGAUUCAUACUCCUGGUAUGGAAAGUAAGACAUCCUCAAGGAGACCUCCUAAUAGACCUCUAGUUUUUCAAGCUGAACCACAUCCUCAAGCUGAACAUCAUUGUUAAUAGCAAUACAUUUCCACUUUCCUACCCAACCCUAUGAUGGGUCAUGCUUGACUAGAGGUGUGUCUGUUUUGUGGUGCUGGAGUAAUUCUGCUGAGGAAGAGCAUAAUUCUGGGGGGCCAAGACUUGUGCUCUUCACAAAAUGUCUUAAAACUAUCUGGAGUGGAUUCCCUUUCUUGUCCAAGAUGAACAGGCAGCAUAGUAGAUUUUGUACUACUAAUAAAAGUCAGUUUGCCUAGGAGGGUCUGAUGUCUGCAAAUUCUUAAAUAUUAACAGGACCACCAUCUUUGCGUUUAAAGAAAAUAAAACAAAACCAAAACCAAACCACACAUAUUUUGCAAAUAUAUUUAUUGGAAAAAUUGCUUAACUAACUUUAAAUUGUGCUUCAGAUGAAUACAUUUCAGACAGAGAAAAGCAGUACAAAGCAAAUAUAUAAAGUGACACCACAAUCCCAAAUGUAUCAUGCACAGCUCUAAAAUAAGCAGAUUUUUCUUUGAUAAGUCACUUAGAGUAUUUGAAUAUUGACUGGGAAAACAAGUCUUCAUGGAAGAAAUUACUUUUUCUAUGCAUUGUGGAAAAAAAAUUCCUAGAACAUGGGCAGGGUGAGAACUAAAAUCCCUGAUGAGUGCUAUUUGUUAUGAAAUAUAAUGCUUUGCAGUUCUUUGGAGGAGGGAUUUUCUUGCCACAAAGACUGUAUUAUUUCAACACUUAUUUUAAUGAAAAUAUGUCCAAAUGCAUUUGUUUAGCUGUUUUCACUCCUGUUUCAUUGAGCAGGAAGUUUCAGAAUAUAUGAUUUUUGAAAAACCUAUGUGGAAAUUGCACCAAAAAAUGUGCUUUGAAGUAAUGGUAUUCUUAUAUUUUAUCAUAAUGAAAUACUGAAAUAAAAAUUUGAAACACAAGGUUUACUUCCAUAUGUUGAUUCAACACAAUUUUUUCUUAAACACUUUGUCUGCCAUCACAAAAAUCAGAAUACCAGUAACCUCAGAAAACACCAGCACUAUACCCUAAAAUACAAAAUGUCUGUGUGAUCCCAUUAUGGCUAGGAAACUGUUCCAGUGGAAAGUAUUAGCCAUUAUCAGAGGUCAUUAAAAAAAUCCUUCCUAUUGGCUUUAAAUCUUUAUUACUUGCCAGGAGAGGAAAUUUUUCUGGAUUUACAAUUUUUAUUUUUUUUUUUUACAUGGAGUAGAGACACCACAGUUCUUGCUUCAGUUGUGUGCAGAGAAAAUCGAAAAUGGAAAGACAUCCAAGAUCUUCUGAGAUUCUGGAAUCCAGUGGGGAAGGCUGACCUUUUGCAUGUGGGAUGAAUAUAUCCCACAGAAAUUUCAGAUUGGUGCCAACCCCAGCACUGAUUUUUUUCAGCACUGAUUUUUUUCAGUUCAACUGCUGGCUGGCCAUGAGCUAUACCAAAGCUGCCAAAUUCAUUUCUCAAUCAGGAGCAAGUGAUUGGCCCUGGCUCUAUGGCACUGCAAAGAUGCAAGUUGUGCAAACAGCUGAUUUGAUCAUGUCUCCUUUGCCUGGCAUUAGGCAGCUUAUGACUUUGAAAUAUUUAUUAUAUUGCCAGAGUUAACUGAUGUUUUCUAUAGCAGAACCCAAUAUGUUUGAUAAACAGUGAGAAUUUCCUUGGCAGUUCAAGGAAUGGAUCUUUUCACCCCAGUGUCCUCAUAUUUUGCAAAAUUCCCAUUCAUCUACACAAGGUUGCCAAGCCAUGAGAAGAUAUUCACUGUGAGGUCUACAACUUGGAAAGAGAGGCUCACCAUUCAGGAGGGCCACCACCAUCGGCCAGGUAGUGCAGGGACAAUCAGGUCUGGGAACAGGCACCAGAGAUGCUCUGGAUGGACUCUGGCACUGCAGCCACAAUAGGAGGGGAAGGGACAUUAUUAGGACCCCAAACAUUCUGCUCCAAGGCAGAAAGCCAUCUCAGCCUCUGGAUGAGAUGAUGUGGUUAUCAAGAUCUGGCUUAGGGCUGGGAAGAAAAGCAUUUUCUGUGAUUGUCAUGGUGUGAUAGUACUUUUGAUCCUGGGCAAGCCAGAGAUCACACAGAAAGAAAACCAACACAACAACCCACAAACCCGCAACAAACAAAAAUCCACCCCCACAUUAAAUUAAGGAUCAGAUUGUUCCUAUUUUAACUCUGUUGAUUCAUCUAGAUUCAUCUUCCAACAAGAUUCCUGCACAAAGAGCUUGGGGCAUCUAAAGAACUAAGGGCUUGGGGUCUGGAAAUGCUUAGUUGAAAUUUUGGCUCUUUCACUACCUUGUGCAGUUUCCAGCUGGGUAAUUCAUGUUUCAGUGUCUCAGAUGGUUCAUCAGCAACUCAGAGCGACAGCAGUGUCCUCAUAGAAGUAGAGAUCAGAAAAUAAAACCAUGUUCCUAAAUAUGUAGAUUAUUAACAG